ensembl:ncRNA Y50D7A.17 ncRNA
GCAUUUUUAGAGCCAAAAUUGCCAGAAAUGCGAAGAAUUUUGGUUUUUUCAGUUAAUAGUUGGCAAAUAUAGGCAAAAAUUGCUAUAAAAUGCGCAUUUUUUCGACAAAUUAUUAACCGCAAUUACGCAUUUUUUGGCAUGGAAAAAAGA